rnacentral:lncRNA from 1 species
CUGGGAGAUGAGCCCUAGAAAGAUUUGAGGAGGUUGCUGAGGAGCUGCUUUGGUUUUUCCUUGUGUCCAGUUCCUCCUUGCUUCCAGUAACCUGCUUUAGCCUACUCCGUCUCCUCUGCUGAGUCCCUGCACCAUCCUCUGACAGGUUCAGAGUAUGAGGAUUCAACCAACUGAGGAUCAAAAAAUAUGACAAAUUCCAGAAAGUUCCAAAACAUUACAUGUAUAGACUUUUUCUUAUUAGUCUCUAAGUAAACAUUGUAACAGCUAUCUGGAUAACACAUUGUAUUAGGGCUUAUGAAUCAUCUAGAGAUGAUUUUGCAUACGGGAGGAUGUGUGUAGGUUCUAUGCAAAUGCUAUGCCAUUUUUUAAAAAAGGAUUUAGGCAACUGGAGAGUUUGGUUUCCUCCAUCAUCCUGGAACCAGUACCCUAAGGAAACUUAGGGAUGGCUAUAUUAAAACAGCACAGGGGCUUCAUGGUUUGCUUAUCACUAUCAUAACACAUAAUGAGGAAGAAUGAAAGAAAUGAUGAGGUAGAACAACAACACCCAGAGAUUUUCACCUAAAAGCUGAAAAAAAUAUUAGGCAUCUCAAGCCUGAGAACAGUGGAAAGCACAUCUGUGGCUCUGGACCAGCCAGCAUUAGGAAGAUGGCUCUGCAAACAGCUGGAAAGAGCUGGAAUUGGUCUGACACGCGGCUGCAGGGAGAGCCAGGGAUGGGAGCCCAAGCUCACGUGCAGCCCAAGCAGUCACGUCUGAAGAAAGCAACUCUGAUGGAAACGCGAUCACCAGGGCUUACAGGAGGCCUCUCUACUCUGUCGCUUCUUGUUGCCAGGAGUUGCAAAAUGCUUAAUGUCUCUGAGGAGUGGAACAGCUGCACAAUGAAUGCUGUGUACCCAUUUCCUAUGUCUGUCCUUCUGUCCAGGGUUCCAUCCAGGACACUACUCCACGUGUCACUAUGUCUCUCUGAGUUCCUCUCAUCUGGGCCAGUUUCUCAGUCUUGUGUUGCUUUUCAGUCCUAAAGAGCCUGGGCCUAGGACCCUGGAGAAUGGCAGCAGUCUUGGUUUGUCUGGCAUUUUUCUCACGAGUAGUCUGGGACCAGGUUUUGGAUUAGAUGAGUGUCCUUGUUACAG